GAUCAUGGCUCAGGAUGAACGCUAGCGACAGGCUUAACACAUGCAAGUCGAGGGGCAUCAUGAGGUAGCAAUACCUUGAUGGCGACCGGCGCACGGGUGAGUAACGCGUAUGCAACCUGCCCGAUACCGGGGUAUAGCCCAUGGAAACGUGGAUUAACACCCCAUAGUACUUUUAUCCUGCAUGGGAUGGGAGUUAAAUGUUCAAGGUAUCGGAUGGGCAUGCGUCCUAUUAGUUUAG
rnacentral:rRNA from 1 species